rnacentral:rRNA from 1 species
AGUUCGGAUUGGAGUCUGNAACCCGACUCCAUGAAGCUGGAUUCGCUAGUAAUCGCGCAUCAGCCACGGCGCGGUGAAUACGUUCCCGGGCCUUGUACACGCCGCCCGUCAAGCCAUGGAAGCCGGGAGUGCCUGAAGUACGCGACCGCAAGGAGCGUCCUAAGGUAAAACCGGUGACUGGGGCUAAGUCGUAACAAGGUAUC